UACGGAGGAUGCAAGCGUUAUCCGGAUUCAUUGGGUUUAAAGGGUGCGCAGGCGGAUUAAUAAGUCAGUGGUGAAAUCCUACGGCUCAACUGUAGAACUGCCAUUGAUACUGUUAGUCUUGAGUAUUGUUGAGGUAGGCGGAAUGUGUCAUGUAGCGGUGAAAUGCUUAGAUAUGACACAGAACACCAAUCGCGAAGGCAGCUUACCAAGCAAUAACUGACGCUCAUGCACGAAAGCGUGGGGAUCAAACAGGAUUAGAAACCCCAGUAGUCC
rnacentral:rRNA from 1 species